rnacentral:misc_RNA from 1 species
UGUGAUCGUUACCAAACUGUUGCCUCGGCGGGAACUCUUGCCCCGGGUGCGUCGUAGCCCCGGACCAAGGCGCCCGCCGGAGGACCAACCAAAACUCUUUUUGUAUACCCCCUCGCGGGUUUUUUAUAAUCUGAGCCUUCUCGGCGCCUCUCGUAGGCGUUUCGAAAAUGAAUCCAAACUUUCAACAACGGAUCUCUUGGUUCUGGCAUCGAUGAAGAACGCAGCGAAAUGCGAUAAGUAAUGUGAAUUGCGGAAUUCAGUGAAUCAUCGAAUCUUUGAACGCACAUUGCGCGCGCCAGUAUUCUGGCGGGCAUGCCUGUCCGAGCGUCAUUUCAACCCUCGAACCCCUCCGGGGGGUCGGCGUUGGGGAUCGGCCCUCUUCUUGCGGGGGCCGUCUCCGAAAUACAGUGGUGGUCUCGCCGCAGCCUCUCCUGCGCAGUAGUUUGCAAACUCGCAUCGGGAGCGCGGCGCGUCCACAGCCGUUAAACACCCAACUUCUGAAAUGU